UCGGCACUAAUCAAAUCCGGAGGGACGCUGAGCACCCUGAGUCGUCAUGGGCAACGAGAACAGCUCCUCAGGCAACCAGAAGACUUCUUUGGCGCGAAGUUCAGGAUCUGUGCAACCGCCUGGGAACAGUCAGAGAGUAGAAAGGAAGCCCGAGGAGGCAUCCGAAGGCACGGACCCAGGAGACCGGCCCAGUUCACUUGUACCAGAUGGUGUCAUCCAGCCGGCUGCCCUUGAAGACCUGGAAAAUUCACUCUUAGCUGCCUCGACCUCCCACAGUGAUGUCAGCGGCCAGGUCUCCACGGAUCUGACAGCCCAGAGGAGUUCUGACUCUGAAGAAGCAUUUGAGACUCCGGAGUCCACGACCCCCGUCAAAGCUCCACCAGCCCCACCCCCGCCACCCCCCGAAGUCAUUACAGCACCUGAGGUCAGCGUGCAGGCUCCCCUGGAAGAACCAGGAUGCAGCUCUGAGCCGGCCUCCGUCCCCGAUGGCCCCCGCAGCAGCUCCGUGGAGGGCAGUCCUUUCCAUCCCCCACCACACUCCUUCUCCGCCGUCUUCGAUGAAGACAAGCCGAUAGCCAGCAGCGGGACUUACAACUUGGACUUUGACAACAUCGAGCUAGUGGAUAACCUUCAGACCUUGGAGCCUCGCCCCUCAGACCCUAAGAAUCAGGACUGCAAGGUGAACUCACGGAGGAAGUCCACGGACUCCGUCCCCACCUCUAAGUCGACGUUGUCCCGCUCGCUCAGUCUGCAAGCCAGUGACUUUGAUGGUGCUUCUUGCUCAGGCAACCCCGAGGCCACGGCCCCGGUCGCGGAUGCGUACAGCGCGGGUUCGAGCAGUGCUUCCAGUACCCUUAAGCGAACUAAGAAACCGAGGCCACCUUCCUUAAAAAAGAAACAGACCACUAAGAAACCCCCUGAAACGCCCCCAGUGAGAGAGACGCAGCACGAGCCGACCGGAGAGAGCCCUGACCCCAGCGAAGAGAAUCAAACAGCCGGAACGAGACCAGAACCUGCCAGGGCAGAAGGCUCCAGAUCAGCCUUAUCGGAGGAGGCACCCCCAGAGCCUGCUGCUGCCCCCAAGGCGGCCUGCCCCCUGGACUGUGAGGCUGCAGAAGGGGCCGUCCCCCCAGCUUCGGGGGGUGGCAGAGUGCAGAACUCACCUCCCAUUGGAAGGAGAACCCUGCCUCUGGCCACAGCCCCUGAGGCAGUGGAGGUGACCCCAUCAGAUAGUGGGGGGCAAGAGGACUCCCCAGCCAAAGGCCUCUCAGUGAGGCUGGAGUUUGACUAUUCUGAGGACAAGGGUAGUUGGGACACCCAGCAGGAAACCCCGCCUCCCACUAAAAAGAUAGGCAAAAAGCCGGUUGCCAAAAUGCCCCUAAGGAGGCCAAAGAUGAAAAAAACACCCGAGAAACUCGACAACACCCCUGCCUCGCCUACCAGGUCCCCUGCUGAACCCAAUGACAUCCCUAUCGCUAAAGGUACCUACACCUUUGAUAUUGACAAGUGGGAUGACCCCAAUUUUAACCCUUUUUCUUCCACCUCAAAAAUGCAGGAGUCUCCCAAACUGCCCCAACAGUCCUACAACUUUGACCCGGACGCCUGUGAUGAGUCCACUGAUCCCUUUAAGACGUGCUCUAAGGCCCCCAGCUCACCUUCUAAAUCCCCAGCCUCCUUUGAGAUCCCAGCCAGUGCCGUCGAAGCCAAUGGAGUGGACGGGGAUGGGCUGAACAAGCCCGCCAAGAAGAAGAAGACGCCCCUUAAGACUGACACAUUUAGGGUGAAAAAGUCGCCAAAACGGUCUCCUCUCUCUGAUCCACCUUCUCAGGACCCCACCCCCGUGGCCACGCCGGAAACGCCACCCGUGAUCUCAGCGGUGGUCCACGCAACUGACGAGGAGAAGCUGGCGGUCACCAAUCAGAAGUGGACGUGCAUGACGGUGGAUCUGGAGGCUGACAAACAGGACUACCCCCAGCCCUCGGACCUGUCCACCUUUGUGAAUGAGACCAAAUUCAAUUCACCCACGGAGGAGUUGGAUUACAGAAACUCCUAUGAAAUCGAAUAUAUGGAGAAAAUCGGUUCCUCCUUACCUCAGGACAACGAUGCCCCGAAGAAGCAGGCCUUGUACCUUAUGUUCGACACGUCUCAGGAGAGCCCGGUCAAGUCUCCCCCCGUCCGGAUGUCCGAGUCUCCAACGCCGUGUUCAGGCUCAAGUUUCGAGGAGACUGAAGCCCUUGUGAAUACCGGGGCAAAGAUCCAACAUCCCGUUGCACGAGGGCUGGCCCCCAACCAGGAGCCACACUUGCAGGUGCCAGAGAAGUCCUCCCAGAAAGAGCUGGAGGCCAUGGCCUUGGGCACCGCGUCGGAAGUGAUGGAAAUUACAGCUCCCGAGGGCUCCUUUGCCUCUGCUGACGCCCUCCUCAGCAGGCUAGCUCAUCCAGCCUCUCUCUGUGGUGCGCUUGACUAUCUGGAGCCCGACUUAGCAGAAAAGAACCCCCCAGUCUUUGCUCAAAAACUUCAGGAGGAGUUAGAGUUUGCCAUCAUGCGGAUAGAAGCCCUGAAGCUGGCCAGGCAGAUCGCCCUGGCUGCCCGUAGCCGCCAGGACACCAAGAGAGAAGCUGCUCACCCACCGGAUGUCUCCAUCUCCAAAACAGCCUUGUAUUCCCGCAUCGGGACGGCCGAGGUGGAGAAACCCGCAGGCCUUCUGUUCCAGCAGCCCGACCUGGACUCCGCGCUCCAGAUCGCCAGGGCAGAGAUCAUAACCAAGGAGAGAGAGGUCUCAGAGUGGAAAGAUAAAUAUGAAGAAAGCAGGCGGGAAGUGAUGGAAAUGAGGAAAAUCGUGGCCGAGUAUGAGAAGACCAUUGCCCAGAUGAUAGAGGAUGAACAGAGGGAGAAGUCGGUCUCCCACCAGACCGUCCAGCAGCUGGUCCUGGAGAAGGAGCAGGCCCUGGCCGACCUGAACUCGGUGGAGAAAUCCCUGGCCGAUCUCUUCAGGAGAUACGAGAAGAUGAAGGAGGUCUUGGAGGGCUUCCGCAAGAAUGAAGAGGUGCUGAAGAAGUGUGCACAAGAGUACCUGUCACGAGUAAAGAAGGAGGAACAGAGGUACCAGGCGCUGAAGGUCCAUGCGGAGGAGAAGCUGGACAGGGCCAACGCCGAGAUCGCCCAAGUCCGGGGCAAGGCCCAGCAGGAACAGGCUGCCUACCAGGCCAGCCUACGGAAGGAGCAACUGCGAGUGGACGCUCUGGAGAGAACGCUGGAGCAGAAGAAUAAAGAGAUCGAAGAACUCACCAAGAUUUGUGAUGAACUGAUUGCCAAAAUGGGGAAAAGCUAACUCUGAACCAAAUGUUUGGACUCGACCGUUGCGUGCAAUAUGACCGUCGCACACUGCUGUCCCUCCGGUUAUGUGGACAGGCUCUGUUUUCACUUUU
rnacentral:lncRNA from 1 species